rnacentral:lncRNA from 1 species
AGAAGAAGAUGCCGCCGACCAGUACAGGAGAAAGACGACAUCGGCAAGCACCCUUCAUGUAUAAGCUAGCAAGGCAGAGAGGAGCGUUGUCGGGAGCAGGGGUGGCCUCGGGGUCGAUGGGACGGGGCGGUGGCAACGGCGUCGGAAGCAAUGCAGCUCAAUGGCUAUGGACGGACGGAGGAAUCCUAGAGUGUCCAGAUUUGGCUGCUCCAAGCUGUCCACGAACUCCUCCCUUGAAAACCAGAGCAGAGUAAGCAGCGGCGGCGAGUAAUCGGGGAAUCCAUCGAAUCUCAAAAAUCCAGACGGGAGAUCUGGUGAGGGGAAGGGAAGGAUGGAGGUUGGCGGCGGGAGAGCCUGGAGGGUCACGGGAGACAAGGGCGG